CACGAGAGAGGCGACUUUACGUCAGCGGCCCUGGGCUGAGAUUUGAGAACGCGACCAAGUGGAGAAUGUUGGAGCCAGAUUUUAAAAUCCUUGUCUUCCUUCUGCGUGCUACUUGAUCUAAAUGAGAUACGGCAAAGUCACAGAACCUGUUUUUAUGUUUUUGCCUGAUUCAUACGGGCUUCUCCGGUGAAGAUGGGCCUGAAGUAACGCUUGGGUUGCUUCUGACGUUAUAACUCAUCCUGUAGCUGCAGCAACCGUGGUCCUUGCAACCUCAUAAAAAUGUUGCCAGCAUUGUUUCGAUAGUGCUGCUUAAUUCUUGGAAGGCCUCUUUGCUUUCUUCCCUGAGGUUCUUCGGACUUCACACAUUCCAGCAGUAGCUCUCUCAGCUCCUGUCCUGCACAGCUUUGAAGUGCUGGUGAUGUCAUUGAACUCUUAAGUGCAAGAUGAAACAAGUCUUUCUGGGGUUCUAAGUAGAGAUGGGGUCUCCCUAUAUUGCCCAGGCUGGGCUUGAACUCCUGGACUUGAACGAUCCUCCAGCUUUGGCCUCCCAAAAUGCUGAGAUUACAGGCGUGAGCCACCAUGCUUGGCAGCUGAAGACACAGCCCUGGUGAUGGCUUUCUGAGGAUGACACGAUGGAGGCUUCUCCAAUAGCUCUAAAACUGCGGUGUGGAAAACAUUCGGCAGCCUCAAAGAGCGGUCUUGUUGACCCCAACUAUAUCAUUUUUCAUCAAAAUCAUUCUUGUAAAGAAUGACCAGGCAACACUCUUUGAAAAUUGGAGGCCAUUUGCAGCUGCUCUCUGUUGAGGAAAGUGAAUAAUAGGGUGCCCUCAAGGAAUUGCAAAGGUAUCACUCAACAGAAACUUUCGUGUCUGAAGAAAACUAGAUCAUUUUAUCAUGGUAGGCAUGCUGAUAUGUUUGCUUUAAUAAAAUGCCAUAUUUCUGCCUUUAAUCUCUUGUCAACCCGCUAUUAAAAAGCCCCAAAGUGCAUGUGUGCAGCGCAUGUAAACACUUGUGGUUUUGAGGUUACCACAGAACAUACUAAUAAAGCAUGUAAUUUGUGUUUUGUGCA
rnacentral:lncRNA from 1 species